rnacentral:rRNA from 1 species
CGCGUAGGCGGCUUUAUAAGUCUGGAGUGGAAGUCCUCUUUUCAAGGGAGGAAUUGCUUUGGAAACUAUAGAGCUUGAGUGCAGGAGAGGUUAUCGGAAUUCCCGGUGUAGCGGUGAAAUGCGUAGAUAUCGGGAGGAACAUCGGUGGCGAAGGCGGGUAACUGGACUGCAACUGACGCUGAGGCGCGAAAGUGUGGGGAGCAAACA